UUUUAUCUGUUCUAGAUUAAUCUGGAAUUUUUGUGUUAUUAAUUGAAAGUUUUAUUCUUGCUUUUUUAUUUAUUUUGUUUUUACAUUAAAUACUAGUUUUGUUUACUAAAUGUUUCGUUUUGUAUUAAUUUAAUUUAAUUGAUCAAGUUAUUUUGGAAUUAGUAAUUGAUUAAGUAUUGACAAAAUUCGUGCCAGCAGUCGCGGUUAUACAAUAAAUGCUAAUAAAUAUUUUUGACUUUUCAGUUAAUUGGUUUUUGAAAAUUAAUUUAAUUAUAUUGGGUGAAAUUUUGUAAUUGUUUAAUUUUCUUAUUUUGAUUCUGUGAAGAUUAGAUUAUAAACUAGGAUUAGAUACCCUAUUAUUUUAAUUGUAAAAUUUUGUUAGGGUAGUAUCAGUUAAUUUCUUGAAACCUAAAGAAUUUGGCGGCAUUUUAUUCUAUUCAGAGGAACCUACUACGUAAUUGAUAAUACACGAUUUGUAAUACUUAGUUUUUGUUUGUAUAUCUCCGUUAUCAGAAGGUCUUUUUAGAGGUUAAUAAUCUUCUUGAUUUUUAAUUGAAUUUUAUUUCAGGUCAAGGUGCAGUAUAUGGCUAAGAGUGGGUGGGUUACAUUAGAUUUUAUUUUUAACAGUCUUUUUUAUGAAAAUAUUUAUUUAAGUUGGAUUUGACAGUAAUUUGUUUUACUUUUUACAUUUGAUAUUAGCUCUAUAAUGUUUACACAUCGCCCGUCACUCUCAUUAUUUUAUUUGUUUAUUAAUUUUAUUUAGGUGAGAUAAGUCGUAACAAAGUAGGUGUACUGGAAAGUGUACCUAGUAAGAAAUCA
rnacentral:ncRNA from 1 species